rnacentral:lncRNA from 1 species
CACGCAGGGGUUGACACCCAUGAGCACUGGUCCUUCAGGCUGAGUUCUAUGGGAAAGGUGAUGCAUUUUCCAGUCAAUCCCAGGCCCUCAAGUUCUUUUGGCCAUUAAAGGAUUACAAGAACUCCCCAACUUCUGGUGGCCUUUGGUCCAACGCAGGCAGCCUGAGUUGAGAUCAGUUUCUGCUAUGAAACAAUAAGGUUUCUGCUGUCCAGUGAGAUUUUGGAGUCGCCCCUCUUCUGCACUAGAAGAGGUCUUUUGUGAAGACAUCUGCAGGAGAAACCAUGUGUCUGGACUUGCCUUUCUACCGUUCGUAUCUGGAGAGCUCUCUACUGGUUUCUUUACAAUAAAGCUCCAGCCACCAUUGAAUCUCCC